UACGUAGGGUCCAAGCGUUAAUCGGAAUUACUGGGCGUAAAGAGCGCGCAGGCGGUCGUUCAAGUCGCGUGUGAAAGCCCCCGGCUCAACUGGGGAGGGUCACGCGAUACUGAUCGACUCGAAGGCAGGAGAGGGUAGUGGAAUUCCCGGUGUAGUGGUGAAAUGCGUAGAUAUCGGGAGGAACACCAGUGGCGAAGGCGACUACCUGGCCUGUUUCUUGACGCUGAGGCGCGAAAGCUAGGGGAGCAAACAGGG
rnacentral:rRNA from 1 species